rnacentral:rRNA from 1 species
CCUCCGGGUAGGUGAACCUGCGGAAGGAUCAUUAUCUU